rnacentral:lncRNA from 1 species
AUCUUUUACAUGUAUAGUUAUAAGUCAUUUGUAAAAGUUUUAUAAAAUCUUAUUCAUUUUUAAUAGUUUUUGAGAGGUUUAACUGGUCAAUGAUAAAGCUAUGAAAAAUCAAAAGAGAACAUUUUCCCGCCAUAAUUCCAAUGGCUAAUAUCUCUAAAACAAGCACAUUGACCCCUAUAUUUUUUUUGAUUCCUCAAUUAAAUCCCUAUCAGUAUAUACUAGUUUUGUGGAAAGUUAUUUAUUUUGAAACUGAGCAG